CAUGAAGUUGGAAUCGCUAGUAAUCGCGGAUCAGCAUGCCGCGGUGAGUACGUUCCCGGGCCUUGUACACACCGCCCGUCACACCAUGAGAGUCGGGAACACCCGAAGUCCGUAGCCCAACCGCAAGGGGGCGCGGCCGAAGGUGGGUUCGAUAAUUGGGGUGAAGUCGUAACAAGGUAGC
rnacentral:rRNA from 1 species